rnacentral:rRNA from 1 species
CCUACGGGUGGCAGCAGUGGGGAAUAUUGCACAAUGGGGGAAACCCUGAUGCAGCGACGCCGCGUGGGUGAAGAAGGAUUUCGGUUUGUAAAGCCCUAUCAGCAGGGAAGAAAUAAAGUCCUUCGGAAUUUGGACGGUCCCUUACUAAGAAGCCCCGGCUAACUGCGUGACAGCAGCCGCGGUAAUACGUAGGGGGCAAGCGUUGUCCGGAUUUACUGGGUGUAAAGGGAGCGUAGACGGCAGCGCAAGUCUGGAGUGAAAUCACAGGGCUUAACCAUGGAACUGCUUUGGAAACUGUGCAGCUGGAGUGCAGUAGAGGUAAGCGGAAUUCCUAGUGUAGCGGUGAAAUGCGUAGAUAUUAGGAGGAACACCAGUGGCGAAGGCGGCUUACUGGACUUUAACUGACGCUGAGGCUCGAAAGCGUGGGGAGCAAACAGGAUUAGAUACCCCAGUAGUC